CGGAUUGCAGUCUGAAACUCGAGUGCAUGAAGCUGGAAUCGCUAGUAAUCGCAAAUCAGAAUGUUGCGGUGAAUACGUUCCCGGGUCUUGUACACACCGCCCGUCACACCAUGGGAGUUGGAAAUGCCCGAAGUCAGUGACCCAACCUAAGGGAGGGAGCUGCCGAAGGCAGGUUCGAUGACCGGGGUGAAGUCGUAACAAGGUAGC
rnacentral:rRNA from 1 species